rnacentral:rRNA from 1 species
CAAUAGCGUAUAUUAAAGUUGUUGCGGUUAAAAGCUCGUAGUUGGAUUUCUGUUGAGGAUGGGCGGUCUCUACUCUCGUAGAUGCAUUUGUCACAGCCUCGGCAUCCUCUUGAAGAACGGUUCUGUGAUUCAUUUCGUGGUCCGGAAUUCAAGACUUUUACUUUGAGGAAAUUAGAGUGUUCACGGCAAGCAAUCGCUUUGAAUACAUUAGCAUGGAAUAAUAAUAUAGGACCUUGGUACUAUUUUGUUGGUUUCUAGAACUAAGGUAAUGAUUAAUAGGGAUAAUUGGGGGCAUUCGUAUUAACGCGUCAGAGGUGGAAUUCUUGGAUUGCGUUACGACGAACUACUGCGAAAGCAUUUGCCAAGGAUGUUUUCAUUGAUCAAGAACGAAAGUAUGGGGAUCGAAGACGAUUAGAUACCAU